UCGUGCCGGCAGCCUCUCACUCUGCCCUAACUAUGAGCUCACAAACCGCCAUCCUGAAGGAUCCCCCUGCAGAGAAACUUCCCGGCCAGCUCCACCCAGAAGAGAGAGCAGAUGGAAAAUUGGAGCAAGCCCUCAUCUUGGGUCAGGGAAGAAAAGAUUCUUUUUUUCCCCUUCUCUCUAAAAAUAUGCUCAGGGCUUUUUUGAGCCUUGAUGCAAUAGAAACCAGCUGUGGCCCAGAACGCCCCCGCAGCCACUGCCCAGGGAAAAGGAAAACAGAAACAGCCAUUGGAGGCGGGAUCAAUGCCUGUGUUUGGGCUCCAGGCCCAGCCUCUAGCCACCUCUGGCCUGGAAUUGUGUCCCAAAUGGGCACCAAACAGUCCCUGUUUAUUCGUCCUGUUGUGGGCUCAGGGCCCCAGGAGUCACUUAGCCCUUCCUCUUUCAAUUCUUGGCGCAGAGGAUGAGAAGAUGACAAGAAGUGGGCGUUUCUUAAACUCUGCACCCAGGCCUGCUGCUUCCUGGACCAACUCUUCCAUGGCCCUGGGUGUCACCCAGUGUUUCUGGAGCCUCUGAGUGGUGCCCGCUGCCUGGCAGCAGCCCCUGGAGGUAGGCACUUCCUGGCAUCAUGGCAGAUCUGGCAUCCUCUUGCCCUGGGCUUCUCGCAGUCUUGCAACCCACGUUCCCCAGCCAGCACGGAAUUCCCCUUUCUCUGCCUCUGAGUGCACCCCUCCUUUCUGCCUUGCUUGCUUUCCUGUCUUACCUUGCUUUUGGUCCUGAUACCCUCUCUACCUUCCUCUGUAGUAUCUCUGAGACCCACAGCAACCUGAUGUCCCAGAGAAAUAAUACUAAUAACAAUAACAACAUCACCGACGAUGUUUUCAGUACAUUGUAUAAGCGCUGUCGGUGCCAGCAGCUGUGCGAAAUGCUUUGCACUCACUAUCUCCUUUAAUCCUCACAAUAAGCCUAAGAAGUAGCUAAUUAUGCAGAUUCCUGACAAAAAACACAUGGCCCAGUUGAAGGAUGCAAUUCUGUGGGUGUCAUUGUGUGUUGGAAUUCCCUGGGGCGUAUCAGAUACUCCUGCUGCCUGUAUCCUACUCCCAGGGGUUGUGGUUUAAUGGCUCUGGGGAGUGGCCUGGGAUUGGGAAUUUUUAAGAGAUCCCAGAACAUUCUAAUAUGCACACAGGUUUGGGAACCACCAGUUUUCCUGAAGAGAGUUUAAUGAAGGGACUUUAAAAAAGUUUUAUUGAGGUAUAAUUGGCACACAAUAAACUGCACAUAUUCAAAACAUACAAUUUGAUGAUAAGUUUUUAAAAACCAUCUUAACCAUUUUAAGUGUAUCAUUCCACAGUAUAUUUUUAAGUAUAUUCAUAUAUAAGUAUAUUCAUAUUGUUUGAGGAUCUCCAGACCUUUUUCAUCCUGUAAAACCAAGACCGUACCCAUUAAACAACUCCCCGUUUCCCCUCCCCCAGCCCCUGGCAACCACCAUUCUACUUUCUGUCUCUGUGACUUUGAUGACUCCAGGUACCUCGUAGAAGAGGAAUCACACAGGCCGGGCACAGUGACCACACCCAUAAUCCCAGCACUUUGGGAGGCCGAGGUAGGUGGAUCACCUGAGGUCAGGAGUUCGAGACCAGCCUGGCCAACAUGGCGAAACCCCAUCUCUACUAAAAAGACAAAAAAAAAUUUAGCUGGACAUAGUGGCGCACGUCUAUAAUCCCAGCUACUCGGGUGGCUGAGGCAUAGAAUCGCUUGACCUAGGAGGCGGAGGUUGCAGUGAGCUGAGAUCAUGCCACUGCACUCCAGCCUGGGUAAUAGAGCAAGACUCCAUCUCAAAAAACAAACAAAAAAAAAAGGAAGUGGAAUUACACGAAUGUCUUUUUGUGACUGACUGAUUUCACUAGCAUAAGGUCCUUGAGGUUCAUCCUUGUCGCAUAUGGCAGGAUUUCCUCCCUUUUUAAGGCUGAACAAUAUUCCGUUGUAUGUAUGUACCACAUUUUCUUUAUCCAUUCAUCUGUCCAUGAGCAUUGAGGUGACUUCCAUCUCUUGGCUAUUGUGAAUAAUGCUGCUAUGAACACGGGGUUCCAGGCAUCUCUUUGAGACCUUGCUGUUAAUUAUUUUGAAUAUAUAUGCCCAGAAUUGGGAUUGCUGGGUCAUGUGGUAAUUCUAUUUUUAGUUUUUUGAGGAACCACUCUACUGUUUUCUAUAUCAGCCACACCAUUCUACAAUCCCACCCACAGCGCACAAGGGUUCCAAUUUCCCCACAUCCUCGCCAACACUUGCUAUUUUGUUUCUUGGAUAGUAGCCAUCCUCAUGGGUGUGAAGUACUAGCUCAUUAUGAACUUGAUUUGCAUUUCUCUAAUGAUGAAUGGUGCUGAGCAUCUUUUCAUGUGCUUGUCGGCUGUUUGUAAAUCAUCUUUGGAGAAAUAAUGAAAGGACCUGGUAGGGGAUGAUGAUGCACCAGAGACUAGUGAAAGCAGCACGUUGUAACCACCUCUAGCUCUGUGGGCCAGAGGAGAGCACUGGGUACCAGAAUCACAGAUCAGGAGCUGUGGAAGGCGCUGCCCGACAGGAUGGGGGACCCUGGGAGAGGGAUGCAGCCACAUCCAAACUGUGGCCCAGAAGAGGGAGUGGGAAAAGUCCUCGACCUCUCUGUCUUCCUGCUGUCUUCCAAUAUCCUACCUGGGUGAGGUCAGCCUCCUGGGGAUCAGAGCAGGGCAGGGAGGGGUGAGAAUGAAUCCACUGGUGGUGGGGGCAAGGGGCAAAUAGAAUCACCCAAAAAAGAGGUAUAUGUUGCUGACUCCAUUUUACAGUCGGGGAAACUGAGAGUCAUGUUUGGCACAGUUUAGAGGGACUUGGACCAAGAUUUGGACUUUGCUCUAGGUGAUGCCAGCCUGAUUAUUCUAACCUGUAAGCUACACCACCUUCUGGCAGUGGGCAGUGCCCAAUGGGGGAGGGUGCGGGGGCAGUGCCCUUCCCGCCAGAUGCCACCCCUCCCUUGAGCUUGGUCGAGGGUGAUCUGCCUUCUCCUUCCUUCCUCUUCCAUUUAGAAAGCAACGGGUCUGAAAGGUAAUUCUGUUCUUGAUGAGGGUGCAGGCAGCAGAGGGAAUUGUCAUCCUGCUGAAGACACACAGCUCUUCCAUGCUCUACCCUAUGUGUAAUUUGUUCUUAUCUGCUCCUGGAGCCACCACCUGCUACAGUGUAAAGAGACCCCACAGACUCUCUGGAUCAAACUACUCACUGUCCAGAAGGAGAAAAUGAGGUCCUAUGUCUGUGGCUAGAACCCAGGCCUCUGGGGAGCAACCCAGGGCUCCAUCCAGGGUGACCUGAGCCUGCUCUGCUCAUCAGAGCCAGUCUUUACCACCCUUCAUAUCCCGGGAGCCCACAGGUAGAAAGAUGGGCAUUGCAGGUCACCGUGGUUCCCCCACUGAAGCAAGUUCCCUGGCUCGCGAUUAGCCAGUGCUCUGCUGGUUCAUGAUGCGCUCCAAAUGCUAGACCAAGAAAGAAACUGGGUCGGUGGGCAGGACACAGGACCAGCGCUCUGGGAGGAGAGCUGUUCUCAAGCAGUUUGGUGGCAUCAGAGCCUCUGUGUGGUCAGUCAAGCAGGGCAGCCAAUUUCCUCUCCUUUCAGCCCUAACUCUGGACUCCUGUACCUGGAGGGGCUCCCUUUGUGCUCCUGCAGCCCAGAAGCCCUCCGAGGCUUGACAUGAAAGAGUCGCGGGAUCUUGGACUGUUCCGGUGGAAGGGCUCCUAGCAAAACCCAGAUGUUUUCUCUUCUUGUAUGGAUGGGAGGACCGAAGUCCAGAGAAGUGGAAUAACUUGCCCAGGGUUGUGCUGAGAUUUGUGAAGGUGCCGGAUGCUGGUGUGCUGGUGGCUGGCAUGCUCUGAGCCCUUCCUUCCCGCUGUUUCCCUGGAGUUCUGCUUGGCAACCACCCGCCUGCAUUUUUGCAAAGUGAUGUCAUCUGCAGAUAAUGGUUUUUCCGUUCCUGGUGGAGCAGGAGUUCCAGAUACAGUGCUUCGGGGGAGGGGCUCAAGAGAGCUGAUUGUGCACUCCUCAGGCAAGUGGGGGCUGCAUAGACCCCCUCCCCUCUGACAGUCACAUCUCAGUUGUAAGGCAAGGCACCGUCUCAGGCUUCCUGGACUCCGGAACCUGGAAUGACCAAAAUGGCAGAGGCCCCAGAGACAAGCCUCCCCUGCCUCCUCCUUGUAGAGUUGGGAAUCUGAGGCCCAGAGAGGGCAGAGCCUUGCCCAAGCUCACACAGCAUUUACAGGCAAAACCUUGACUCACAUCCCGACUCCUAACAUCUGUGGCCACUUGCCCGUGGUUGGGGGUUUUUCACCCUCAACACCGUUGACAUUUUGGGCCAAGGAGUUUUGUUGUGGGGGCAGUCCCUUUCAUGGCAGGAUGUUUGGCAGCAUCCCUGGCCUCGACCUCCUACAGGCCAGUAGCACCCCUCUCCAGUUCUCAAAUCCAGACACUGCCAAAUGUCUUUCACCUAAGUUGGGGUGGGAGAAAGUAACCCUCCAGCUCCUAAGACCUUUAUCCACUGCCAUAGGCAGGAGAGGUUUCUUGAGUCCAAGCCCAAAGGGUGCUUUGUCUGAGGCUCUGACUUAACGUCAGGCACCUUCAGGAUGGGAGGCAGGCCUGGAGGGGGCUAUGAGGGGCUGGAGAUGGUCCAGGCCCUCCUUCUGGUUAGGAACACUGCUUCCUCUGAUCACUUUUCUUGGAGCAAAACUGCCGAUUUAUUUUCCUGGGGAAAUAAAAAUAAAUGCUGGCUGUUGUAAUCUCAUCCCUGAUCCCAUCUGGAAAAAGCAGGCUCAUGAAUCUUGGCCGCCUGAGCUCUGAGGACUGUGUCUGGCGGAACCUGGAGUUACAAUGGGCCUUCGAACAUCGGAACAGUCACGGCUGACAUUUCCUUUCCCGUUACAUGGCUCCUUGGAAUGUGAGCCCCAGGGGGCCGUCCGUGGGCAGGCGGAAUUUGGUGGAAAGAAGUGCUGCACGGGCCGGAGGCCAGCUCAGCUUCUGACUUGCUGUGUGACUUUGGGCCACUUUUCUGUUCGUUUCUGGGCCUUGAUUUCUCCAUCUGCAGAAUGAGGGGAGCCACGUUCCUCAACAAGGGGUCCAUGGACCACCUUGUAUCAGAACCAUUUAGGGAAUGUGUUUAUGGCUAUUCCUGAUAUUUCUGAUUCCUCUUCCAGACCUCCUAAAGUUUUUAUGCAUCUCUAAGUGAUUUCGAUAUAUAUAAGUUUUGGGACCCACAACACCAAGGACUUUGAACUUUCCACCCAGUUUCAAGUUUGAACACAUCACAGUUCUUCAGCCUCCUUCCCCCUCAUAACGAAGUGUAGAGUUAUGAAGCUAGAGGGUAAAAUUAUGGGGUGGGCUGGAACUGGGCAUUGCUCCUAACAAUUAUCUGCUUUCAAACUCUUGGCAGGGUCUCUGGGGUCCUUGAUCCAACUGAAAUCACUGUUAAAGCACUUUAUUCCUCCAGUAAUGAAACUCGAGCUGCUAGUUACAGAGUUUGGUUUCAAAAUUGUGCCAUUUAUUAUUUUUGUUGGAUUGGCUUAUAAACCCUCAUAUAGUCAUACAUCAUUUAUAAUGCAUUAUUCCAUGAGAAUGCAUUUUCCAGAUGAGAUUUAUUUUUUCUGUUAAAAACUUAAAACUGUUCUUUUUUUUUUUUUAAAUGGCAGUCUUUCGCCAUGUGUUACCUAUUUAUACCACCUUAAGUGAAGGUCAGGAAAUGCAAUUUUACUUAUUCUCAAUGCUCCAGGGUUGUCAUUGUGAGUUUUAACUACUGUAUGCAUUGAUGUAAAUUUUAGGGACUCCAAAACUCACUGUGCCUGAACUAUGAAUGUCCCCCAAGCUGCUUAGCCCUUGUGUCUGCUUUUAAAAGUUCUGCUUUGCUUCUAUAUUUUUAAAGAUUUCUUCCUCAUGAGAUAUCAGCAGUUACUUCUCACCACGUUAUCAUGACUCCUUUGGAUGAAAAACCAAUAACCAGUGUGUAUCAGGAUUGUCUGUAGUGUAAGAGUUCAUAAUCAAUGAAUGAGAGGACUCUCUGAUGAGUCAGGGAUGUGGAUUUUUGACAUUUGUUUUGGCAGCUGAGAAUAAGGGGUAGUUUUUUUCUUUCUAAUUUUCACCCCAAUAGCAGCUGCUUUCUGAGAGUUUUCUAGAUAAAUGUGAAAUGAGUGUAGAUCGAUUUUUCCAUGUAACUAAUUUACAUUCUGGGUGAACUCAUUUUGCUUCUGACUUAGAGGUGCUUUCAUUUCCUUCUCAUCUGCACCCUGUUCUUGGAGAAGCUGCUCCACCCCUAGCCCAUGAUACAUGAUGCAUGACCCAGCCCACUGGGCCCCCUGAUGCCACCUGGGCCAAUCAGAUUUUCCAGUCAGGAAAUUUGCAAUUGAGAUUCAGAGCUGGAAAGAGUCACCUGCUCUGAUGGGAGCUGCAUUUGUGGACUGUGACUCAGAGGCUGAGGCCCCAGGGAGCCGACCCCAUGGGCCCUGGGCAAGCCCAGAGUGAAUGUGGAAGCCGGGCUGUGGAGGUUCCCUGAGCAGACAGUCCGGGUGUGUGUGCGUGUGUUUGUCUGUGUGUGUGCGCACAUGCUGGAGGAUGGGGCAGAACGUAGGGUCCCAAGCCCCUGAGGGAGGGGCUUGUCCUAAUCAAGUCACAGAAAUCAGGGCAGGGAGAGCAUGAAAGAGUCUUGUUCCCCUCUCUGCAUUUGGGAGAUUCAGGCCCCGGGGAGAGGAGAGACUGACCCAUGAUCAUCCAGAGGGGACUUGGUUAAGCUGGUCCUGAGCUCUGCCAUGCAUGUUCUGUUUUCCUACCCUGGCAGCUGGCUCAGAGCAUGGAUAGGCCUUGUCUCUCUUUUCUUUCUUUCUGCCAAAUUCUUUUCUGUUGGGAAUCUGAACAGCGGGUAGAUGCAGUCAUGGCAUGAUUUGCUCCAAAUAUCUCCCCAACAGGUGGUCACGGUGUCUACAAUUCCAUCACCAGAUCUUCCAUUUCCAGGAGUAACCCUGGGCAGGUGUAUACCAUGUGUCUUGUUUACAGUGGGGAUUAAUAGUUCAAGGAGCCCAAGGUAAGGAAACCCAUAUUUGAUGAAUCUCCAGACAAUUUAUACCCACCACACAGCCUUAUGAAGAUAGCCCAAUCACGCCUAUUUUACAGAGGGGAAAACUGAAGUUCUGAGAGGUGAGCUGACUUGCCCAAGGUCACAUAGCACGUCAAAAUCGGGGCUCACAUCUGCAUCCAGAGUCCAGGCUCUUUGCCCUAAAGCAAGCUCAUCUGAUCUGGGAGCUGGGGAUAGGCUGAGGAGGCGAGCGGGUGACAAAAUGAACUUGUCCCAUGGAGUCAUUCAGUGGGAAAAGUUGUGGUUUGGGAAUUAGGGCCAAAUGGCUCCUUAACCUUGGGCAUCAUGGUGGGCCUCAAUUUCCUUACCUCUGCAGGAGGGAAGGACCGGAUGUACUCUGCAAUCCCAGAAAACUCAAUGGGCUGAGGCAGGAGGACCUACUGGCCAUUGAAGACUGUCCACUCCUGGUCCAGAUUCCAAGUGACCAGGCAGAAAGAGCAUGGACUUUGGAGUUUGAUUGCCUGGCUUUAAAUCCCCCUGCUCCACUCGCUACUGUGGUGUGGACUCAAACUUGAGGUACAGUCAUCCUAUGAAGGAUCAGAGCUGGAAAGUGGGGGCCUGGCUCAGGGAGCAGCAGAACCAGAGCAGAAGCUGAGCUGGAGAUGCCCUGAUGGGGCCGAGGUGGAGGCUCAGGCCUGGGAUGGGCAGUUGGACCAGCAGGUCCAAAACAGCAGAAGCCAAGGCAGGCAGCGGUCUUGGAGAUGCCCUCUGACCUGCCGUGGACUGGAGCCUCUAAGAUGCUUCCUCCUGAGGCUGGAGCUGAUGACUGGCAUCCUUGGGAUGUAACCUGCGUGCAGCCGGCAGAUUCAACAAAUAUUCAUGCUGGAAUGGGAUGCAGAAGUCACCUACUUUCAGAGAUGGGGAAACUGAGACCCAGAGAGGGCACAGCCUUUUCUCGGGGGCCUCCAGUGACUCAGAGUCAAAUCUGUGCUUCUUGGCUCCUGGAUCUCUGAGCUGCACCCACUGGACCCCUAUGCCAACCCCAGCACCCCUGUUCUCCAUGGCGGCCCCGCCCUGAGGAUUUCCUAUGCCUUUCUACAGAGCUUUCUCCUUCUCCUAGAUCCCUUUUCUGCAAAACGAGGCUGGGGAGUUCUGAGCCAAGCCCAGGCCCACGUGCCUGGAACCAGAGACAGCGUAAGGAGCAGACACUGCCAGGUCACUUGCAGCAGACUCCAGGAGGAAAUGAGGGAAACAGAACCUCAGCCGUAGCCUAGCCAGGGCUCUCAGAGCCUAGAAAGCUCUUAGGAGAAGUGGAGAGUUGUUCAGAUCCAGGCUAAUUUGUCAUCUCCAGCCCUUCUCUGGUGAUCAGCUUGCCUCUUCCUCUACCUGCCCCUAUAGGUAGAGGAAGCUUGCCCUUCCUCUCCUGCAUCUUCUCCUCCCCUUUCUGUCACAUGCCUUCUGCUUCUUGAGGCCUCUGCCUCAUUGUAGUUUCUCUUGCUGUCCAGUUCCGGUGAGCUCAUGGCUUCUGUAGCCCAGUUUCUCUUUGCUUCCCUUUGUGAAUCUUUCCUGCUUCGACUCUCACUCCCAACUUCUUAACUUACACUCAAUGCUCCCAGAGGGAGGACUUGAUUGGUUUGGAAGUCCCCCACCAGGACAGGCCAAGGAUUAAGUGAGUUCUUAUAUGAGGUCUCUGAUUCCCUAACUCCAGCUAGGUGUUCAAUUAUUCAGUUCAAUUCUGACACCAACUCCAGGAGUUAGUGCAGACCCCAAGGUUUAGGGCUCAGCCCCACAGGGCUGUCCCCCUUUAGCCACCAGUCACACACAAGUCCAGGGACCAUCUGUACAUCUGACUGCCUGGCUCUGAAUUUCAGGGUUCCCAUAACCUCCCCUUCUAGUUAGAUCAUUCACUAGAACAAUUCACAAAACUCAGCAAGUGCUUUACUUACUAUUACCAGUGGAUUAUAAAGGAUACUACUCAAGAACAGACUCAUGGAAGAGAUGCAGGGAACAAAACAUGGGGGAUUUGCACAAAGCUUCCACGCCCUCCCAGCGAGUCCCUGUGUUCACCAGCCCUGAAGCUCCCAAACCCUGUUGUUUAGGGGUUUUUCUUGCAGUUUCAUUAUGAUGGAUUAAAUCAUUGGCCAUUGGCGAUUGAAUUCAAUCUCCAGCCCAUCUUACCCCCAUGGAGGCUGUAGGGGGUGUGGGGGUAACCAGCCCUCAUCAUGAAGCUCUCUAGGGCUCCUCCAUAAGUCAUCUCAUUAGCAUAUGAAAGGCAAUACGUUCAGGGGUUUUAGGAGCUCUGUGCCAGGAAUUAGAGACCAAGACCAAAUAUUUAUAUUUUAUACCACACCAGGCCACUUCUCAGCCCACUGGCCAACUUCAAGAUUGACUGCUGUUAGGUCACAAUACCCACUUGGCCAGGGGUAGAGAUCACUCAGUAUCAUGUGUGGUGUAAGCUGUUGAGAUUAGGCAUAGACAGUGGCAGGUGACUGACGGGCUGGACAACUGACAGAUGCUCACCUUGGCCAGUGUAGGCACAGAUAGGGCAGGACCCCAUUUGUUUAAGUGUUCCAUCCUCAGAAAUCCCCUCUCCCCCACUUCUUCCUUCUCUUCAUUCCUUCUUUGCUAUUUUUAAAUGGCACAUUGGAAAUAAAACAAUUGUCAAUGUAUUCAGCCCUCCCGCAGCGGGCUGCCAAUCAGCACAGUCCAGCCUACCUCCGCUUCCAUUCCCUCCACCUUAGCCCUCACCUCCCUCUUUGCUCUUGCCCCCGUCUCCGGGCACUCAGGUCUCUGUUAGUUUCUCAACAGCUUUGCAUAUGCUGUUCCCUCUAUUUGGAAUGCUCUUCCCCAUCUCCCACCCCUGGCUGGCUUUUCCUGGCCACCCACUCUGAAUGAUGCGCUCCUCUUACAUAUGUGCCCUGUGUGUUUCUUUACUGAUACUUGUCAGCCUGCUGAUCGACUUAUUUGCACAAACAUUUAAUAAAUCACUGGACCGUCUGCUGUAGGCGGGCAGAGAUCAGA